CCCGAAAAUUCUCCGAGCUGAACUUUUGCUCCAUAGACACCAAUAUUAUAAUGUUAAAUUAUUAUAAUAAGACAAAAUUUCAGAGGCUACAUACCUUCGCGGAAAUUGAUAGCUGGUUACGUAAAAAUCGAUUUUAGUCGAAAAAGUAAUUAACUUCUAAUUUAUUAAAGGAAAAGCUUUAAUAAAUAUAAUCUAUAUUAUAAUAAUAAAAAUUAUAAAUAAGCUUAACAUCGGCUUUAUAACGUUACUGUUAUUAAUUUAAUUAUCUAAAAUUAUAUAAAAAUUGUAAUUUUAAACGUAAUUUUCUUUUUUAUAGAAAAAUGUAUAAUGUAAAAACUAGUAUUUAAUAUUACCUUUUUAAUAAUUAUUAAAUUAUUAAUUUCAGAUUUUUAAUUUUAUAUUUAGAUAAGGAACUCGGCAAACCUUUAUUCAGCCUGUUUAACAAAAACAUCGCCUGCUGCAAAUAUAGUAGGUCUGUCCUGCCCAGUGAUAAUAAUUCAACGGCCGCGGUACCUUGACCGUGCAAAGGUAGCAUAAUCAUUUGCCUUUUAAUUAAAGGCUAGUAUGAAUGGAUCCACAAGAAUAAAACUGUCUCAUUUCUAAAAUAAAUAUAAACUGAUAUCUAAAUGAAGAAGUUUAGAUAUUAAUAAAGGACAAGAAGACCCUAUAGAGCUUUAUUAUUAUUUAGACAUACUAAUAUAAUAAAUUGAUUGGGACAAUCUUAAGACAUAUAAACCUCUUAUAAUUUAAAUAUACUACACCCUAACUUGUAAAUGAAUAAGCUACCUUAGGGAUAACAGGCUAAUCUUACUAAAGAGAUCACAUUGACAGUAAGGAUUGGCACCUCGAUGUUGGCUUAGUGUAACUAUAGGGUGCAGCCGCCUUAUUAAGUUGGUUUGUUCAACCAUUAAAUCACUACAUGAGCUGAGUUCAGACCGGCGUAAGCCAGGUUAGAUUCUAUCCUUAUUAAAAAAAAACUAAAAAGUAGUACGAAAGGACCCAUUUUA
rnacentral:rRNA from 1 species